rnacentral:lncRNA from 1 species
UGGAGUUGCUCCCCCUUGGAAGUGACAAGACCGAUGAUAAAGUCUGAUUAAGAGAUUGUUCAUGCAUUAAUGUCACAUUGGAGCCGGGAAGGUUUAAAAUGGGGGAAAAAAGCACCGUAACUUUGUUCGUGUCCACACUCUUUUUUCGGAUCAGUUAAAGAGUUUUACAUCUUUUUCUCGGACAAUGCUACUACUUCUUCUCUAUUGAUUAGAUUGGAAAGGAAAGCACGGUAACUUUGUUCGUUUCAAA